rnacentral:rRNA from 1 species
GACGAACGCUGGCGGCGUGCUUAACACAUGCAAGUCGAACGGAAAGGCCCCUUUGGGGGUACUCGAGUGGCGCACGGGUGAGUAACACGUGAGUAACCUGCCCUUGACUUCGGGAUAACUUCAGGAAACUGGGGCUAAUACCGGAUAGGAAUCCUUGCUGCAUGGUGGGGGUUGGAAAGCUUCGGCGGUUUUGGAUGGACUCGCGGCUUAUCAGCUUGUUGGUGGGGUAGUGGCUUACCAAGGCUUUGACGGGUAGCCGGCCUGAGAGGGCGACCGGCCACAUUGGGACUGAGAUACGGCCCAGACUCCUACGGGAGGCAGCAGUGGGGAAUAUUGCACAAUGGGCGGAAGCCUGAUGCAGCAACGCCGCGUGCGGGAUGACGGCCUUCGGGUUGUAUACCGCUUUCAGCAGGGGCGAAGCUUGUGGUGACGGUACCUGCAGAAGAAGCACCGGCUAACUACGUG